rnacentral:lncRNA from 1 species
AAUAAAUCUAUAGUCACUUUUGUAGAAGCUUAGAAGUAAUAUAAGAUUACCUGACAUCGGACAAUGAUUGAAAAUUCUUAACUAAUGUACUGUGUUAAAGAGAGAAAAGGCAUGUGCCUACACGAAAGAAUAAAUUAUAGUGGAUAUUUGCUAUAAAUAUUCUAUUACACAAAUGGCAUGCAUAUAGUCACGCCUGAAUAUAGUUUUAACACUAGUGUAGAUGACGAGCACAGCUUGGAUCGCCUGCGGAGAUGAAGCGUUGCCAUUGCAAUCGGCAUCAAGCACCAUAGGGUGUGCAAUCAGCAACAAGCACGCAACAAGUACCAUAGGAAAGUAGUCUGCAAUAUGAAGAGUGAAACUGAGAGUAUGAAAAAAAUACCGACGUUUAGAUGGAUAGGAAUGCAAAAUAAAUGUUGGGUGGACCAUUUUUCUUAUCAAGGACAAUCACAUGGGGACUUACUACUGCGCUUUCUUGUUUCCUCCAGCUGCUUUCCCACCACUAGUGUUCCUUAAGUUCCAGACACCCAUGUUUAGCGAAAGAGGAUCAUUGUACCUGUUUACUUCAUAGCAUAAAUAAACAAGCGAUGGGAAGAACAACCCGUCUUUGAUUUUAGGUGGGUGAAAGGAUCACUGCCAUCCUCAGUAGCAGCCAGAGAAGCAUCGGCAUCGACAUCCUAGUAUAAGAUAUAGAAAUCUAGUUAAAUGGAAGAGAGGUGAUGCAUACAUCAAACAAUAUUUUCAGCAAUGAAUGCAUAAUUUAAAAUAUAUAUAUAUAUAAGUUCCAGAUUAUUUAGUUCUUAUGAUGCACUUGUCAUUCUGUUACUAAUAUUUUCAGCAAUCCAUGUGAACCAUUGCUCAGUUCUUUGGCAAACCACAACAUUGUAAUGCGGUGUGAUCAAAUUAUAUUUUGGCAUCACUAUUUUUUCUUUCUAAUCCAUGCGAACAUUGCCAUCAGUUGUGUUUGUAAAUGACUGGUAUUCCUCUGAACUAAAUAAAUGUGUGAAUAAGAAAAAAUAAAUAAGCAAUAAUCCAUUUCGGGGUAAUAUAGGGAGUUGUUGAUAUAGGAAACUACAAACAGAAAAACGGCUUCAUCAGGACGAUAUGUAUUAAACCUUCAAACGGUGAGCAAUUUAUGAGAGCAUAUCUCCCUCUGAUUUAUGAAAUUAUUCUUUCUUAUAAUUGGGGCAUCUGUCCAAUAAUUUCUCUCCAGCCGGUGUACAGUAACUAUGGGGCGAAAUUUCUACAUACUAAAGGUUUUGUAUGCCCUAAACCUGACAUGAUGCUUGCUCCAAUAUGCCAUCUCUACCUGGAUGAUACAAUAAAUGAUGUGCUUGUGAGUAUAAUAAAUUGCCUACUCAUCAGGCCAGUGUAAGGUAGGUUGGAUUGUAGGCUGAGAAGUACCAAACCGAGGAAGACCAGAGUUGGGCAAGGCUAAAGAUUGAGGAAUACCAUGAGGAUGUAGCAUAUAAGAAUGCAUCCGAGCCAUCUGCCCAGGAGGGACAAAACCAUUAGUCCUAAUAGUGAUGGAACAAUAGGUACAACAUUAGCAUUAUUUCCCUCAAGAAAUAUAACCAAAGUGCGCUUGGGAAUUAUUCAUAAGGAAUAAAAUAGAACAAUCAACACAACCAAUAUGAUAAUCUAAGCAUAAAAGGACCAUAUAUAUGAGUUGCAUUCCUCUAUGUAACACUACAAACUCAGAAUGCAGCAAACAAUCUGAUGAUCAUAAUAGCAUAUGUGCAAUUUAAGGCUUUCACUCGUUUGAACAAAUGAGACAUCAAACAAGUAUACAAAAUUUAUUUCUCUAUCCAGCAACUCAGCCCAGCCUGCACACAUAUGGGAUAAAUCAAAAGAAUCACGGAUUCAUGUUUCUCAAUCCAGCAACUAAGCAAGUAAUCCCAAAUUCGAAAGUACCAACAAAUAUUUAUAAGCAGAAAACAGAACACUACAGCAACGCAACCAUCACCAAUAUUAGAUGCAUAUCAAAACAAAAGAUAGCCGCAUGGGCAACAAAAAAAAUCAGUUUCAUAAGUUUGUUUAUAUUUUCAAGAGCACAGUUCAGUUCAUGGUGCCAAGAACAAGAAUGGGAGGGAGGGGUCAAACCAUUAAACGUUCAAGAAGAUCAUCGUCCUUCGUUCCCAUGUUAGUCUGCAUUACGCAAGGUGAUUGUUACUAAAUUCCAAAGCAUAUCAGCUCUCGGCGUGGAAGAACGAUCACCUAUGGGGUAGGGGUGCCCCUUUGAGGUUCGGCAAGGGGACGAUCACAUUGCACAAAGAGCAGAAACGGCAGGGGUAGCGCGGCGAUGGACAGCUCUCUUUUGCCCGGGUUCGGGCCGCUUUGCAGCAUAAAACUCUACUCCUACUGUGGUGGAUUGAUCUGGAGGAACACGAAGACACGACGUGCUCUAGACCGGCAAGGGUUCCUCGGGGGGAGCAGCGUGUACGUACAAGUGUUGGGGGGUCUAAAAUUUGAACCCCUUGCUAGGUCGCCUCGGGCCUCCUUUUAUAGCUUAAGGGGCGAGCACAGUGGCAAAAUGGUCAUUUUGGUGUGAUUAGAUAGCUAACAGUCUGGCAAGGGAGGCUUCCCUCAGGUGAUCUCCUUUCAACUUGAUCUUCUUAAUGCUCUCCUUGAUCUCACGAGGAGUGGUUUCUCUGGCUUAUCUCGCGUCAUGCAUAGAUACCUGAUGUAUGAAUGACGUUACACCUGUGCGUGAGUACGGGCGGCAAACAUAAAUGUUUGCUGCUCCAACAUCUGCACAUAAAAAAAGUGGGUCUACUUGAUUGAGAUAUAUGAGGACAAGAGUGCAGAUAUCACACAAGUAUUUCAAAUAUAUAUGCUCUUCUUUGUAGCUAUCUUUGUUCUGUUUGGUAAUGUUAAAUGGGAAAUAAAAAAAGAGACUAUCUUGAUGCCAUCGCAGAACCUCUGAAUUUUGAUAACCAUACAACCGUAUGUUUGCUUAAUAAAAAAACAAACUAUACAAACCAUUUACAGGAAUAUCGAUAACAAACUUGUUCCAUCUUGAAUAAAAAAAAUUCUACCAAAUGUUCUGCAACCAGACCAUUUUUCCAAUACAUUUAGCUCAAUAUGCACAACUCAUGUAUAUUAGGCAUAGUUUUAAAUAGUCGGCUAUAGCCCCGCUAUAGCUGUUUGAGGGUGUUGCCGCUAAAUGAUUUCAUGUACAAUUUGCCGCUAUAGCUGUUUUUAAGGGUUGCCGCUAAAUGCCAUAGCCCGCUAUUUAAAACAUUAUUAUUAGCACAAAUUAUAAAAGCAAAAUGAACCGUGUUCACAUGGAAGAGAGAGAGUCACCUUGUUCUUCACCAAAUUCUUCCACCGUGCCCUUCUGUUCCUCUUCUCUCUCAGAUCUGAUAGAUUGUGGUGUUUAGAUAAAAUGAAUACCAGGAAAUCAAAACCAGAAAAACAAAAAACCAACAGGGAGAGAGCACCUAAUAGCGAUUGUCGAGAACUGCAUCUUACUAUAGUCACACGUUUUGUGGCAGCACCCGACCACUACAAAGACAAAUUCAGGAACAUCUGUGACACAGAGAGUAGUGGAAUAAGAUAGAGUACAUGAAGAGAGGGGAGAACAAGAGGUGGGGAGGAUAAAAAUACCUACAGGCACAACAUCUCUUGCCAAGGAGGUCAGCGGGGAGUCUCCAAUGCCAGCUCCAUGGCUGGGCCGAGCCAAGCCGCCUCCUGGAUCGGCGCUCUCACCUCCCUCUUUCCCAUAUGUGCAUCACCGACGACGACGGUGCUCUCCCCCUUGAUCCAUGCCACCGGCUGCUCCUCGCCUUCAUCUGCGUCACCGACCUCUUCUCUCCUUUCAUCCACGCUGCCAUCUUCGCCUCUCCCUCGCCUCCUCCUCACCUUCCCUGUCUCAGUCUCGAGCUCGAGCUCCAACCUAUCACCCGCCAGAUCCGGCCCGUAAACCCCUCCUUCCUCACCUGGCGCUGGAGCUCACCCAUGUCUUCUCCUACACCUCAUGAAGUGUGCGCCACAUUGCUCCUUCCCCAUGGCAACCCGCGCCGGCUGAGCCCCGAUGGAGCGGCUGCGGUUGGUGCAGGAGGCAAGCGCGCGGGUGUUGGGCACGUGGAGGAGAGAGGAGAGGAGAGGGAGAUGGAGAUGGAUAGGAGAAGGAGAUGGAGAUGGAGAGAAGAAGAAGAUAGAGGAGGGCUGGCCGCGGAGGUGGCCGGAGGCGAGCGCGUACGUGGACGAGGAGGAAGGGAGGAGAUGAGAGAUUGGAGAGAGCUCGGGGAGGCGGCUGCGGGGCGGGGAGAAGAUUCAAGGGAGGGCGGAAGGAUCGGGGGCUAGGUUUUC